GUGUUGUAUGAAGGAGAGAAGGUUAUCACUAUCCUUGAUAAGGACGGAAUUCACCUUCGGGUGACAACCACAAAUGUUAAAGCACUUGUAUAUUGGCAUUCAUUUAUCUUCAUUCAUUUCUUU
rfam:Strongylocentrotus purpuratus Contig91506_fixed, whole genome shotgun sequence.